CGCCCUACGAUCCCGACGUGCCCCCUGCAGGGUCUGGAUCGAAGGCCACUCCAACACCUCAGUACUCCCACGGGAACGUCAACGGAGCAGGAAGAAGAACUCUGGCCUUUGCCGUCGCCGUUGUAGCAAUCGCUCUGACACUGGUUCCUGAGAUCUUUUGAAUCGGUCCCGGGCCUGUAAAUUACUCCUGCAUGGCAAAGGCUGAGGCCAGUUAAGAUUCAAUGAAAAUGGAGGGUCUCAUCAUAUAUUUAAUAUAAGCACGAGUGAGAACCUUCCA